CGGGCCCCCGAGGGAGCUCUGCCGUCCCCUGAGGUGCUGCGGGGAGCGGCCCUGCUCCGGGAGGCACAGGGGCACCUCCCGACACAGCCCCCCGAAACAACAGCGGCCCCGGUGCGGGCUGAGCCCGUCCCAGCGGCGGCCGCAGCUGAAGUGUGAAGAGCAUCGUGGGCAGCGUGAAGCGCGCCCAGGCUCCGCUCUGCUGUGGGACCCAGCCAUACACCUGAUCCGGACGAGAUCGUGGCGUUAUCACCCUUCUCCCUGGGUUCUGCCCCAAAACACCCACUUCCGUGAAUGCUCACAGCCCCUCAGGCAAAGAAGAGCGCCCCACCUGCGCUCUCAGCACCAAGGUCCAGGGGACCGGUGUCUCAUCAAGGCUUGUCUCAACAAGACAGCAACUGAAAAUCUCGACAUCUCAUCACAGGUUUUGAAGCCUGCUUAUCCUGACCAAGCCUUUCUAGAUCUCAUCAACAUGAAGGAACUCUCCUUAUGCCCUUCCAAGAUCUGUGCAACUUCUUGGAGUGACUUCCCGGUGAUGCCAACAGCUUUCCCUGGCACCCCCAAGCAGAUUAAGUGGAAGACCACAGCAUGCUUCGUCCUUGGCUUUGUCACCUUUGCCUACCUCCAGAAUGGUAUUUACUAGACUUUUUAAAGACCAAAGCAAUCAGGUAAAACAAACUGCACCUUCCAGCCAGUUGGAUCACUGUAAAAUUCAGAACUGGAAGGGACUUUCUUCAGAACAGCCUCCUGAUCUUCACAAGGCAUUCAUGUUACUCUUCCUAAUGACCUCUCUGCACUGAUCUCUAUUGGCAGAGCAAGGCUUGGGGAGCCAUCAAGGAAGGUGAUGGUACAAAUAUCCCUGCCUUUGUAAAUGAAAUAUCUCACACAAUCCACGGCUGCCAGAGGUUGGUUUUCUGGCUCCUGGAGACAUGUGUCUCCUCCUCUUUUGGGGGAAGCUGAGGGUGCAAAGGGAGCAGAGCCUGCAAUGCAUCCAUCAGCUCAAAAGCAGGAUUCAGUCCUGGAGGUAACCCUCAUCCUCUCAAAACUUUAACCUAAGGGAGCACAAAGGGAAAAAUAAUCAUCUUGUGUUGGUCAGUCGCUUUGCUCAGUGUCACAAAUAUCACAGAAAGAGUGGCCCUCAGCAGAGUUUGCUCUAGAUCAAGAAUAACUCCUGUUCCAGCCAUAGCUGGGGCUGUUUAGUACUUCAGGUUUUUGAUGUAUUGAGGAAAGCCUUGACAACACAGACAACUGCAGUGAAAUAAGAGGCUGGCUCAAACAUUAACGACCCACUGAUUUUAUGUGAGACAGAGAGAUGAUCAGACUGUCUGCCUUGGCAAAAACCUCUCCUUCCACCCACUGUGGUAGGCAUCCCUUCAAUAACUGCAAGGGGCAGAACUGGUCCCUCAAAAUUGUCUUUCUUCCCCCCCCACCCCCAACUCCUAUCCUUCUCAGACAGAGUAGGAAUAAAAAACAAGCUGUUGGUAUAGCA
rnacentral:lncRNA from 1 species